rnacentral:lncRNA from 1 species
GAGAGUUAAUGAAAUUAUGAGUGCUCCUUGUAUCUACCAGAAGUAUCACUUCCACUUGACUGAUGUGGGCUGCCAGUCUCAUAGUUCGGAAACCUUGAGUACCCUGCAUUGCAUGAAAGGAAAGGACUAGAGAGAAAGGAAUGACAUCCGACUCAUCUAUCUCCAACUGUUCUGAGCAGUCCUGAAAUUUCUCAAUGGUUGGACUCUUUAACGUUUCAACAGUAGUGGUUACGGAGUUGACCACCAGUUGAUAUAGUUGUGCCUUGUUGCACCUAUGGCCGGAUGUAUACUUAGAAGAACACCAGA